AUGCUUUCAAAUAAAGGCCGGGUGGUUUUAUUCCAAAGGAAGUUGAUCUUGCAGAGGGGAGAUUUCCCACCUUGUCUGAAGGAGAGAAAGGGGACCACUCUCACUCUCACUCUCCUCUCCUGUCCCCAAAUCUGUUCUGGACAGUCCUCUGGAGCAGAUUUGUUAAUAAUGAAUGGCGUCCAGGAAGGAAAGGAAGUGGUGGAAAGCAAAAGCCAUCAAUUACCGACAGAACGAAACUUCUGCAGUCAACCAGUGAAGGAUCGCUGCUGCCUUGACAGCAGGUUGCAGUAAAAUAUGGCUGUGAUUAGAAAUUGUAAAUAUAUAUAAGGCAGAGGGAAAUCGGAGGCUAUUAGGCAGGCGAUUAAUACAAGACUCAGACAGGUGUCACCAUUUGCAAGGCAGGCCGAUGAGAUGGUGGCUUCGAGGUUUGGCUAUUCCCACAGCCGCCAAUCACUCUGGUCCGCUCUCUCCUUAAUAGUCUCUCUUUCCGUUCGUUGCGGGAGCUCAUUAUGCAUUUCGAGCCCAGAUGUGCAAAGAGGCUGCUGGACUAGGACCAGGAGAAAAGGAGCCAGCACCGCCAUCUUAUCAGGAGGUCCAUUCCUGUUGUGGCUCCCAAACCCUUUGGAAUCCCCUCCCCGUGAACAUACUACACAGGAUCCAGAAAGGACCUGCAACUAAUUCAAAACACCAGCGAGCUGGUUAUCUGACCACACUCCUUAAGAAAAGCCUUGACUGAUGCCCAAUGCAGUCUUGGAAGCCCACAACAAUAAGGUGGUGGUCUCUUUUAAUAAAAAAGGGAUAAACUAUGACCGGGUCUCUCGGUUUUAUUUUAGAAAAAAAAAGCAUUGCUUUGAGUAAACAAUCAGUAUUAAAACACAAAGGAGAACUGACAGGCAGAGAAAACGCAUCGUCACAAACAAUCUUAAAGCAAAAUACUUCAUUUAAAAAUAAUAGGGGCUGCUCCCUUCCAAAAUAGGGGGGGUGGCGUGGGAGAGAAAAUGCUUUAAUUCAACUUUUGCCAAGCUGGUACCUGCCAGGUAUUUUGGUAUACAACUCCCCCUUGCUGGCUGGGGCUGAUGGGAGCUGUAGUCCAAAAGAGUUCUGUUAAAUGUUCCGGAGAAUGGAACAGGAAACGCAGUUUAUGAGCACAUCCUGUUUGUUUAUUUGUUUACAAAAAGUUGUGUCUCCUCCCCUGCCCCCCCCAAACUUCUACCGGGGGCCAUGGAGGUCUGCUAAGCAGCCUGCUGGAAUUCUACAAAAUGCCCCAGUGAUGUCCGCAUUUGGGGUGGGACAGCUGCCUCCAUCGUUGUGUCACGAUAGUGCGAAAAUUGUGCCUGUUUAAUUAUUCCUGGCUUUCAAAAUGGCACGGCAGCCCCGGCAGCCACACUCUGGAGAACCGUGCAAUUUAUUGCCAUUGUGAAACGAGCCUCUCUCCUCUCCCCUCGGGUCAGCAGCCCCUUCCUUUUUCUGACCCUGCUGGGGGGACCGGGACGGCCGGA
rnacentral:lncRNA from 1 species